GGGCACAUGGUGUAGGGGUUAUCACGUUCGCUUUGCAUUCCUGGUGUAGGCGUGACAUGCGAAAGGUCUCCGGUUCAAUUCCGGAUGUGUCCA